GGUCCCUUAGCUCAGCUGGUUAGAGCGCCGUGCUAAUAACGCGGAGGUCGUGAGUUCGAUCCUCACAGGGACCA
rnacentral:tRNA from 1 species